GGAAUCUUCCGCAAUGGACGAAAGUCUGACGGAGCAACGCCGCGUGAGUGAUGAAGGUUUUCGGAUCGUAAAGCUCUGUUGUUAGGGAAGAACAAGUACCGUUCGAAUAGGGCGGUACCUUGACGGUACCUAACCAGAAAGCCACGGCUAACUACGUGCCAGCAGCCGCGGUAAUACGUAGGUGGCAAGCGUUGUCCGGAAUUAUUGGGCGUAAAGGGCUCGCAGGCGGUUUCUUAAGUCUGAUGUGAAAGCCCCCGGCUCAACCGGGGAGGGUCAUUGGAAACUGGGAAACUUGAGUGCAGAAGAGGAGAGUGGAAUUCCACGUGUAGCGGUGAAAUGCGUAGAGAUGUGGAGGAACACCAGUGGCGAAGGCGACUCUCUGGUCUGUAACUGACGCUGAGGAGCGAAAGCGUGGGGAGCGAACAGGA
rnacentral:misc_RNA from 1 species